rnacentral:snRNA from 1 species
GCAAUCACUUUGGCAGCACAUAUACUAAAAUUGGAAAGAAACAGAGAAGAUUAGCAUGGGCCUGGAGCAAGG